GUCUUGGAACUGUUAUGUUUCUAUGCUUAGAUCAAAAUCUAUUACUUUUGACAUUUAAAUUUUCCUUUUUUAGUAAUGGCUUCCUGGAUAAAGAGGAAAUGCUUGUCUAGAUGUCUGGUUUGUGGUCUGUAGGUUUUAAUUAUUAACUGUUCAGGAAAAUUAGCUUGAUGAUAUCUAAAAUUACUAGUUAUUAGUACUUAAUUUUUGUAAGUUGGGUGAUUUCCAUAAACUGAUUUACUCUGCU
rnacentral:misc_RNA from 1 species